AUAAAGUUGUGUAGAGUCAGCAAGAUGCUGUGAUCCCAUUUCAAAUAUUGGGUGGUGAGGCUCAAAUACUUCAGAAGAUAAUGUUGAAGCCUCAAGAAGAGGUUAUCGCGAAACCUGGUAGGUGGUUGCUUUGCUCUCUGUUAUAUUCCUUAGUUUUGUUACUGCUACUCUAGUUUUAUGCUUUAUAUGAAGCAGGGUCUUAAAAUUACCGGGAUAGGCGUUCAUUGAAGUUUAAAUUGGGUGAGUCUUUCAAGAUGGUAAAUAACUGUGCUAUUGGUUGCUUGGAGUUCAGAUCUGUGUUCUACAAUGUUAUGACAAUUUUAUAUUGCCAAGAAUGUAUUGUAGUACAAGUAUAGUGGGCAGAGGUGUCAGAAGUUCAAUAAAACCAAGAAGAUAUUUUACUAACAAUUUAAACCAUUUCUCUCUAUCAUACUGUUCUUCUUUAUAGACACAAUCAUGAUACUUCUAUGAAUUGGAUUGUCUGCUAAAGGUGGACAGCUUAGUCAAUAAGAUGAUUCUCUUGCUACAUUCUGUUAGUUGUUGUUUGUUAUCUUGUAGAUGUCAAUUCAUGCAAAAUUCAUAUGGAAGGUAACAAAAUGCAGGGUCCAUGUGCUUCAUGUCUGGGUCUAUUGAAAUGGAAAACACUUACUUUUCUUUUUCUCUCUGUCACUCUUUCGAUUGGCCUUCUCAACCAGUCGACUUUUUUCUUUUCUUUCUCUCUGUCACUCUUUCGAUUGCUCUCAGUUGGUGGGUUUCCAGGUUACUGCUACUGAAAGGUAAAGGCUUCUAACUCUCUUUUGCUCUCAAACUGCUUAAUUUUUCUAACUCUCUUUUUCUCUCUGUAAUGAGUUUCAAUGGCUGCCUUGUUAGUGUCUUUAGCUUUUUUCUGCAUGUUAGCAGAUUCAAAUCAUUGCCUUGUUAGUGCAUUGACUUCUUCAUCGAUUAUUGCACUGUUAACCUAAUCGGUUUCCCCUUUUCUGAUUACAGGUUUUUGCAUAUAUGGUUUUUGGUGUAGGGAGGGGUAGAUAUACAUGCAUUGCAUGCAUGGUCUCAAAAGCAGUGGACAAAAUGGAUCUAAUCUUUGAUCCCUUAGCUUAGAUGUCAAAAUUUGUUGGCUUCAGUUCAAAGUUUUAUUUAUAUUUUAUAUGUAAAAUCCCUACUAUUUCUCCACUCCUUUUUCAAACCAUAUCUAUUUAUUCUUCCAUCUCUUAACUUUUCCUAA